rnacentral:rRNA from 1 species
UACGGGGGGGGCAAGCGUUGUUCGGAAUUACUGGGCGUAAAGGGCUUGUAGGUGGCCAACUAAGUCAGACGUGAAAUCCCUCGGCUUAACCGGGGAACUGCGUCCGAUACUGGAUGGCUUGAGUUUGGGAGAGGGAUGCGGAAUUCCAGGUGUAGCGGUGAAAUGCGUAGAUAUCUGGAGGAACACCGGUGGCGAAGGCGGCAUCCUGGACCAACACUGACACUGAGGAGCGAAAGCCAGGGGAGCAAACGGG